UAUUUAAGUAAUUUAAAUAAAAUACUGAUUUGUGGUGUCAGAAAUAUACCAAGUAUCUUAAAUAUC
rnacentral:tRNA from 1 species